UACGUAGGGGGCAAGCGUUGUCCGGAUUUAUUGGGCGUAAAGAGCGUGUAGGCGGCUUGGCAAGUCCGCUGUGAAACCUCGAGGCUUAACCUCGAGCCUGCAUUUGAUACUGGGCGGCUAGAGUCUGGUAGGGGGAUCUGGAAUUCCUGGUGUAGCGGUGGAAUGCGCAGAUAUCAGGAGGAACACCGGUGGCGAAGGCGGGAUCCUGGGCCAGUACUGACGCUGAGGAGCGAAAGCGUGGGGAGCAAACAGG
rnacentral:rRNA from 1 species